AACGAACGCUGGCGGCAGGCCUAACACAUGCAAGUCGAGCGCCCUUUCGGGGGAGCGGCGGACGGGUGAGUACCGCGUGGGAAUAUGCCCUUCUCUACGGAAUAGCCUCGGGAAACUGAGAGUAAUACCGUAUACGCCCUGUGGGGGAAAGAUUUAUCGGGGAAGGAUUAGCCCGCGUUGGAUUAGGUAGUUGGUGGGGUAAUGGCCUACCAAGCCGACGAUCCAUAGCUGGUUUGAGAGGAUGAUCAGCCACACUGGGACUGAGACACGGCCCAGACUCCUACGGGAAGCAGCAGUGGGGAAUCUUAGACAAUGGGGGCAACCCUGAUCUAGCCAUGCCGCGUGAGUGAUGAAGGCCUUAGGGUUGUAAAGCUCUUUCAGCUGGGAAGAUAAUGACGGUACCAGCAGAAGAAGCCCCGGCUAACUCCGUG
rnacentral:rRNA from 1 species